GACGAGCGCUGGCGGCGUGCCUAAUACAUGCAAGUAGAACGCUGAAGAGAGGAGCUUGCUCUUCUUGGAUGAGUUGCGAACGGGUGAGUAACGCGUAGGUAACCUGCCUUGUAGCGGGGGAUAACUAUUGGAAACGAUAGCUAAUACCGCAUAACAAUGGAUGACACAUGUCAUUUAUUUGAAAGGGGCAAUUGCUCCACUACAAGAUGGACCUGCGUUGUAUUAGCUAGUAGGUGAGGUAAUGGCUCACCUAGGCGACGAUACAUAGCCGACCUGAGAGGGUGAUCGGCCACACUGGGACUGAGACACGGCCCAGACUCCUACGGGAGGCAGCAGUAGGGAAUCUUCGGCAAUGGGGGCAACCCCGACCGAGCAACGCCGCGUGAGUGAAGAAGGUUUUCGGAUCGUAAAGCUCUGUUGUAAGUCAAGAACGGGUGUGAGAGUGGAAAGUUCACACUGUGACGGUAGCUUACCAGAAAGGGACGGCUAACUACGUG
rnacentral:rRNA from 1 species